GCUUCUCUUUCCAUUUCUCUUCGGUCUCUCUCCUCUCUCUUCUAUCUCUCGGAGCCAAGAAAAAGAAAAAAAAUCACCGUUGGCGAUCGAUUACUUACUUAACACGCGAACCAGGGAGCUUCUCUUUCUAUUGCUCUUCUCUCUCUGGUCCAAGAAGAAGAAAUAAAGAAAUUGCCGUUGGCGAUCGAUUACUUACUUAACAAGCGAACCAGGGAGCUUCUCUUUCUAUUGCUCUUCUCUCUCUUAACAAGCGAACCAGGGAGCUUCUCUUUCUAUUGCUCUUCUCUCUCUAGGAUCCAAGAAAAAGAAAAAGAAAGAGCCGUUGGCGAUCGAUUACUUAACACCCGAACCAGGGAGCUUCUCUUUUUAUUGCUCUUCUUUCUCUCUCUCUACGAUCCAAGAAAAAGAAAGAGCCGCUGGCGAUCGAUUACUUACUUAAUACACGAACCGGGGAGCUUCUCUUUCUAUUUCUCUUCUCUCUCUCUCUCUAUUUCUCCUCUCUAUAGCAGGCAGGCAAGGCAGCCAUGAGGUUUGGUUUUUUGGUCAGGAUGAAGAAUGACCAACGGAACAAGUUUCUCUCUGUGAGAAAACCCGGCACUACGAGAGGCAUCAGAAAAGUCCCUGCUGCUGCUGUACCUCAAGAUCUCCUUCUCCCUGACCCAAUUGUUAUCUCACACGGCCCAUAUGUUGUGCUACGAGAAGUAGUUCGAAUUCUGGGAAUAUUCUCGGAACGCCCUAGAGAAAACCCUCUUCUCCCUCGAGAGAAAUUUUCAAAUCUCUCUCUAGAAAGGAAUCCACCUGCGCCUUUAUCUCUGGAGAAAUUUUCUACUCUCUCUCUAGAAGGAAACCCUCUUCCACCAUUUCUCAGCUCUGUGGAUCAAGCUGUUCACUUUCUCUCCCUAGAGGAAACAUCACAGCGAUCCCCACCAUUUCUCAGCUCAAUCCCCUCUGUGGAUCAAGCUCUUCACUUUCUCUCUCUAGAGGAAACAACACCGCCAUCCCCACCAUUUCUCAGCUCAAUCCCCUCUGCGGAUCUAGCUCUUCACUUUCUCUCUCUAGAGGAGAAAACACCGCCAUCCCCACCAUUUCCCAUCUCAACUCCCUCUGUGGAUCAAGCUCUUCACUUUCUCUCUAUAGAGGAAACAAAACCGCCAUCCCCACCAUUUCCCAUCUCAACUCCCUCUGUGGAUCAAGCUCUUCACUUUCUCUCUCUAGAGGAAACAAAACUGCCAUCCCGUUUUAACAGAUUUGUUGAUUGUUGAUUGUUGAUUGUUGACUGCUUUAGUUCAAGUACCAAAUAAAUUUUCAAAACUAAAUACCUGAAAAGUGCUCAAUGAACUAGUUUUUGGUAAGCCUUUGAAUAAGAACAUUGAAUAAUCUAUUUUGAUAAAAAUCAGAUUUUAUUGAUUUAUUACAUGUAUACUGAUUUUCACAUAUUUUAUUGUUCGACCACGCAUAUUUUAAUCAAUUUUAGUUGGAUUAAGAUGUUUUUUUGAAAGAUCUUUUGAUUGGUUGGUUAUUAUCUUCUCAAAUUCAGUCAUAUCGUCAUAUGUUGCUGUGUUUCUACAAUUGCCCUAAUUCUUUACUCUGUUUUUAGGGGACAUCAAUCUUUUUUGAUGUGGUCAUGGAUCAUGAUGCGCACUGAUUUUUAUUUCUGUGACUUUCCAUAUGCAACGAUUUUGGUAACUGGCUGCAAUCAAUCUUGGUGAUAUUGUACUGGUUUUUAUUAUGUGGUGGUUCUAGCUUAUCAAAGAGAUGCAUGGCAGUUUAUUCUCUUUUUUAAUGGUAAAGAAAUGCAUACUGAUUUGUUUAUUUUAUUUUUGGUGGUGGUUGUACCCUCUGAAUAAAAUUGGCAAAGAGGUGCAUACUGAUUUUUUUAUAUUAUUUUUGGUGGUGGUUGUACCCUUCGGAUAAAAUUGGUAAAGAGUUGCAUAUUGAUUUUUUUAUUUUACUUUUGGUGGUUGUACCUUCUGAAUUUUCGAUUUUAUUAUAGAACUCUUCUUAAUCGGCAUCAAAUGUUUUUAUCUUCAUAUAUUAUCUUCACUUGAAUAAAUUUGGUGUGACUUGGUUCAUUUAACACAUUUCUCAUGAUUCAUAUACAAGAACCAUGCAUUGGUUAAGUUGAUUGUCCAUGUAAUUUUUUUUGAGUCGUAUUGUUCUAUUACAACUCUAGUUGUAGUAGAAAGUCAACAGCUGCAUCAUGAUCACUUCGUAAUGAGAUGAUAUUUGUCAAAUAUUGUUAGGAUUGAUCCUCUCUUGAGUACCAUCUAAAAAUGGUUGCGGAUGUCUUACUUUUUGGGUUAAGUUGAUUCUCCAUGUUAUAGAGAGAUUGAAACCCAUCCACGUCAUAACCCAAAAAGUAAGACAUUUACAACCAUUUUUAGAUAGUACUCAAGAGAGAGGGUGAAACUAAUCAAUCCUAAUAAUAUUUCAUAAACAUCAUCUCAUUACAAAGUGAUCAUGAUGUAGCUAUUGACUUUCUAUUGCAACUACUGUCGUAGUAGAACAGUACAAUUUUAAAAAAAUUACAUGGACAAUCAACUUAACCAAUGCACGGUUCUUGUAUGUGAAUCAUGAUAAAUGUGUUAAAUGAACCAAGUCAUACCAAAUUUAUUAAAUCAAUUCAAGUGAUGAUAAUAUAUGAAGAUGAAAACAUUUGAUGCCGGUUUAGAAGAGUUCUACAGUAAAAUCGAAAAUUCAGAGGGUACAACCACCACCAAAGAUGACGUGGAUGGGUUUCAAUCUCUCUAUAACAUUGGACAUGUGUUAUGACAGGUUAUAUAUUUUCUUUAUGUGUUUGAGGAUUUGUUGAUGUAUUUGGGAAUUGAGCCUUCAUGAAUCUUUGUUCCAUGAUUGUCCAUUGCUUUAAUUAUGCAUUUUGCUAUAUGAGUUUGGUCUCUAGUACACCUUCAUUAUGCAUUUUGAUGCUCAUAAUAUAGCAUUGCUGAUUUUAAUUAUACAUCAGACUUAUCGAAAAAGAGCUUAUAGCUCUUGCACCACACUAGCUUCCCUAUCCAAAUCCAUUGGACAUUCUGACUCUAUGGAGGCAGAAGUAACUGCCCUUCUUGAAGGCCUCAAACUUUGUCUUCCUUACCUCUCGUAGCCCCUCAUAAUCGUAGGAGACUCAAAAAAUAUUAUUGCUUCGGCCUCAUUGAAGCAUAUUUGGAGGGAAGGAAAAUAGGCAGCGGACUCUCUAGCUAAAGAUGGAGCAGCUUUAGUUCACAUUUGAUUUUUGGGAUCGACAUCUUUUUUAUGGUUGCUUUGUUUCUAUAGUUGCAGGGAUAUGCGUGACACAUGGAGGCACAUUUGGAGGGAAGGAAAAUAGGCAGCGGACUCUCUAGCUAAAGAUGGAGCAGCUUUAGUUCAUGUUUGAUUUUUGGGAUCGACAUCUUUUUGAUGGUUGCUUUGUUUCUGACACUGUAACUACCAAAACGAUAUGUUUUUUGGAUUCUACUCUAUCUCACCCCCCUUUUCAUAAGGGUUCUGUUAAUUUUCCGCCUGUGGAAAAUCACUUCUCUUCUUUUCUCUGUACUCCCGCUUAUACUAUAUAAAAAUCAACAUUAUCUAAAAAAAAAAGAGCUCAUGAAUGACUGCUGGUCUUGAAGUUCUGGAAUUCUUGAUGAACUGCUGGUUUAAGUGUUUUUUUUUUUUUACUGUCCCCCUAUUUUUAUUGAACUCAUGGAUGUGAACGGCCCACUCUGAGCAAGGCAAUGCAUAGCAUUACUGAUUUUAAAAAGCUCUCUCUUAAUUAAUGUGGUUUGUCUCUACAUUUUGCAAUCUACUAAAAUACAAUGUAAUGAAAUUGAGUAUAAUUGGAAUUGUAGGCAAGGAAAAUUGUCUAGAGCUUUGUUGUUUGUUUCUUACAUGACUGCAUUCAGCAAAAUUGGACCAAGGUUUGCAAGCAAAUUAUACUUUAUCCUUGUUUGAUAAUUGCAUGACUUGUUUUCUGUUUUAGGCAUUCUGUUUGUGCCUUUAGCAGUGUGAUGUGCUUUGUAUAAUUUGGCAGGGUGAUGUUGUCUUGAAGUUCUGGAAUUCUUGAUGAACUGCUGGUUUAAGUGUUUUUUAUUAUUAUUUUUUUUUACUUUCCCCCUAUUUUUAUUGAACUCAUGAAUGUGAACGGCCCACUCUGAGCAAGGCUCAAUGCGUAGCAUUUCUGAUUUUAAAAAGCUCUCUCUCAAUUAAUGUCGUUUGUCUCUACAUUUUGCAAUCUACUGAAAUACAAUGUUCUGAAAUUGAGUAUAAUUGGAAUUGUAGACAAGGAAAAUUGUCUAGAGCUUUGUUGUUUUUCUUACAUGACUGUAUUCAACAAAAUUGACCAAGGUAUGCAAGCAAAUUAUACUUGAUCCUUGUUUGAUAAUUGCAUGACUUGUUUUCUGUUUUGGGCAUUCUGUUUGUGCCUUUAGCAGUGUGAUGUGGUUCAUAUAAUUUGCAUCCAGUGAAGCCCAUGCCAUAUAUUGGUGGUGAGAAAAUUGAAAUUAAGCUUUUGUUGCUUACUUCAUCCUAUUUUGAAAUCUAGAGGCUAGCAAAAUUUGUGGGACUAUCUUUGUUUCAGACUGAUGCUUUAUUUAUAUGUUUCAAGCUAUGCAAGAGCUCCAUUGAAAAAAUCGGCAGGGUGGUGCAAGAGUUAGAGUUUUAGAGAGAGAGAGCCUCCAUUGAAGAAAAUCAGUUGGGUAGUGCAAGUGCUACUAGUUUCAUAGGUCGAGUUGUGGCAAUGGUGCUCUCUCAAGCUGCCCCAGCCCUUGCUUUCUUUCAUGGCAGUUCCUACUCAGACAAUAGAGUGAAGCCCUCCCCUCUCUUGGUUUCAGGUGGUUUACCUUCUCUUAAUUUAAUGGUAAUGGCAUGAUGUGGAUGUGGAGGCUCGACUGGUGCAACUGCUCCUACCUGAGUCCCGAACUCUUGGCCUGGGGUUCCUAGUCGAUACACAUUCUGUUUGUGCCUUUUGCAGUGUGAUGUGGUUCAUAUAAUUUGCAUCCAGUGGUGCCCAUGCCAUAUAUUUGUGGUGAGAAAAUUGAAAUUAAGCUUUUGUUGCUUACUGAAUCCUCUUUAGAAAUCUACAGGCUAGCAAAAUUUGUGGCUAGCAAAAUUUGUGGGACAAUCUUUCUUUUAGACUGAUGCAUUAUUUAUAUGUUUCAAGCUAUGCACGAGCUGCAUUGAAAAAAUCAGCUGGGUGGUGCGAGAGAGAGAGAGAGAGAGAGAGAGAGAGAGAGAGCUCUAUUGAAGAAAAACGGUUGGGUGGUGCAAGAGCUAGUGUUCAUAGGUCGAGUCGUGGCAAUGGCACUCUCUUAAGCUGUCCCAGCCCUUGCUUUCUUCCAUGGCAGUUCAAGUCAGACAGUAGAAUGAAGCCCUCCCCUCUCUUGGUUGCAGGUGCAAUUUUCUAUGCUGAUCUCUCUCUCUCUCUUGCUCUAGAAUAACGCAUACAUGACACUGUUUCGUAGGUGAUUUUUGACAUUGUUGUGGCUUCCUGUGUUUACUUGCUUUUUUUAAAUUUCAUGCUUUUGAUGGGUUCAGUUUCUGUGUGUGAUAUAGGCAUCCUUUAUAGGCUUCUUGAAUGUGGAAAACAACAUCGGAGUGUCACUAAAUAUGGAUGCUUAACUGAAUUUAACCUCCACUGUGGUGUUUCCCACAUGGGAUGAUGCUGGGAUGUGAAUUUGAAUGGUCAUAGCUGAUGUUUAUUAAGCACUUGGUGAAAACUAUGUCCUAGAUUGCUACCAUUCUGUAAAUGGUCAUUUAUGAUUUGAAUUUGACCUCUAAAACUUUGAGUGGGUUAUCAUAUAGACAUGCUAACUUCUCUUACUGUUUAUCUAUAAUGUCCCCUUGAAAUGUUAUAGGCAAAGCUACACUUGACACAAAGUUUUGUGCAUUUAUAUGGCAAUCUGUUCGAGGAACGGUAACGUGGCACCUGGUCCAUUUGUGUCGGAGCCCCAUUAAAUUUGCUUUCGAUUUUGACCCGGCCUUCAACUCUCCUUGUACUAAAUUUCUUUCUCUAUCAUUCUUCUGUUUUUGUAUGAAAUUAUUAAUUCUAUACUACCACGUUGGUGCUGGUCUCAUCAACACAAGAACCACCUGCUCUUACUUCCAAAAUGUUUAGAAUUUAGAUUUCAGAGAACUUCUCUUCCCACUCACCAAAGAAAAACACACACACACACACACACACACACAGAUGUUUCCAAUUGGAUGUCUAUAGGAAACGAGACGCAAUGGAAAGUGCAGUUACAAAUCGAGGAGCAUGCGAGGUACCUCCAAAAGAUGGCUGAUGAGCGACAGAUAUGCGGACUCCAUCAAGACACUGGGUUGUGGGCCUUACUUUAGCAUGAGACAGUGAUGCCAUCAGAGUUGGGUCAAGUCAAUUCAUGAAUAUAUAUUGUCUGGGGGUA